CUGAGAAGCUUAGAACUUUUUCAACGUCAA
rnacentral:sRNA from 2 species